GAAAAAGAUAGACAGUGUCAAAUGUUUGCAGCCCUGAUGUUCCCUCUUUAUCAAGGUCCUUCAGUCAUUUAAAGAAAGCCCCGUCAGUGUACUCCUAGGUAUCUGUGCUGUUGCAUUGACUGGUGUGAGUGGUGUCAUUGCUCCUCUCCUCCAGGUGGAGGCGCUGUAGAGCCGACAAACAGAAGUGGUUUCUGGAGGAUUUCACAGAAACAGGAGGACCAGGAAGCAGUGAUGAUGUAUCAUGUAAACACAUCAGAGCUGUCUGUUGUCACAGUUGUUUGUUGAACAGCAUGACCUGCAGUGCUUUCUUGGCCAGGUCUCCCUCGGAGAAGAAAUCUCAAUCUCAAGAGACUCCCUGGUUAAAUAAAGGUUAAAUUAUAAAACAAAAAGAUAUCUGUGACAAAGGUGCAACAUGACACUUAAAUUUAGGUGUGACGUUUGGCGUGGUGAGGUUUAAAAGUCUUUAAACCUUUUCUGGAUUCCCAACUUAUUGGACUGGUAAUACGGUGAUAAUAUGAGCCUUUGGUUUAUUUAGGCCGGCUCACCUGCACAGGAGAUCCCACUUGUUGCCUAAUCAGGACUGUGUGGUUGAUUACAGACUGAGCUCUACUCACACACAACUCACAUCUCUAUGAUUGUUAACCCUCCUAUUAUGUUGGGGAAAAUGCAUACCGGUAUAUAGUGAGUCAAACUGACCUGCACUGUUCAUUAACAGGGGCAAAUAAUCACUUCAAAUGAGUAAAUGUAUUAUGGGUUUUCAGAGAAUUCAUAAAGAAUGAAUAAAAGAUCAUUUGAUAUAAACACUA